AUUUUUUUUAAUACCCACUCCUUAUUCUUAUUAGUUAAUAAUCCUAGAGAUUGGAUUUAUAUACUUCUUCUGAGAGGAAAUGAAAUAUUUAAAUGCUUUUUCAUCGAAUGACUAUUCAUCUAUUUAUUUUAAUGUAAAUAGCAGCAAGAAAGUUCUAUGGAAAAUGGCGGUUCAAUUCGAUCUUAUCCAAUGUGGAAUUAGGAUACAGGUGUAGGCUAAGUAAAUCAAUGGAUAGUUUCAGUUCUCUUGAAAAUACCAGUAUAAGUGAAGACCCAAUUCUAAAUGAUACAGAUAAAAACACCUAUAGUUGGAGUAAUAGUGACAGCUCUAGUUACAGUAAUGUUGAUCAUUUAGUCGGUGUCAGGGACAUUCAGAAUUUCAGCGCCGAUGAAACUUUUCAGUUAGGGAUGGUAAUAGGGACAGUUAUUCCAUAUAUUUUGAUAUUGAAAAUCAAGUUUUUGAGAUUGACAAUUAUCAUAAUUUUCUGAUUUAACUAAAAGUUCUUUUUAUAGUUAUUGGAAUUCUAGUUAUCUGAAUAAUGGGUUUAGGAGUGGCGACUCCCACUAUGAUCAUUAUAUGUAUGAUACUAAAUAUAGUUGGAAUAAUUACAUCAAUAGUUGCAUUGACAGUUAUCUUCGCUCUCAAAUCUGUAUUGAUAGUUAUAUUUUAAGUGGUAGUAACAAUUACAGCGAAAGUUACAUUUAUAGUUACAUUUGUGGUGAAAGUGGAAAUAGUAGUGAAAGCGAUAGUUCCAGUCUAAGAACUAGCACGAGUGGUAGCGAUUUAAUUAUAAGAGAAAAUUCUAAUGAUCUCGAUAUAACUCAAAAAUACAAGCAUUUGUGGGUUCAAUGCGAAAAUUGUUAUGGAUUAAAUUAUAAGAAAUUUUUUAAGUCAAGAAUGAAUAUUUGUGAACAAUGUGGAUAUCAUUUGAAAAUGAGUAGUUCAGAUAGAAUUGAACUUUUGAUUGACCUAGGCACUUGGGAUCCUAUGGAUGAAGACAUGGUAUCUCUGGAUCCCAUUGAAUUUCAUUCAGAAGAGGAACCUUAUAAAGAUCGUAUUGAUUCUUAUCAAAGAAAGACAGGAUUAACUGAGGCUGUUCAAACAGGCACAGGUCAACUAAACGGCAUUCCCGUAGCAAUUGGGGUUAUGGAUUUUCAGUUUAUGGGGGGUAGUAUGGGAUCCGUAGUAGGUGAGAAAAUCACUCGUUUGAUCGAGUAUGCUACCAAUAAAUUUUUACCUCUUAUUUUAGUGUGUGCUUCCGGAGGAGCACGCAUGCAAGAAGGAAGUUUGAGCUUGAUGCAAAUGGCUAAAAUAUCUUCUGCAUUAUAUGAUUAUCAAUCAAAUAAAAAGUUAUUUUAUGUAUCAAUCCUUACAUCUCCUACGACUGGUGGGGUGACAGCUAGUUUUGGUAUGUUGGGGGAUAUCAUUAUUGCUGAACCUAAUGCCUAUAUUGCGUUUGCAGGUAAAAGAGUAAUUGAACAAACAUUGAAUAAGACAGUACCUGAAGGUUCGCAAUCGGCCGAAUUUUUAUUCCAUAAGGGCUUAUUUGAUCUAAUCGUACCGCGUAAUCUUUUAAAAGGCGUUCUGAAUGAGUUACUUCAGCUCCACGAUUUCUUUCCUUUGAAUCAUAAAUCAAGUAGAAACCUUAAGUUAAAAAGUUAAAAGUUAAACUUAAUUAAAUUAGUUAAUUAAAUUUAAAUUAAUUUAAUUCUUUUUUUUAUGGCGAGCAGGUCUUUUUUUUUUAUCGGAAUCAAAGGAAAAAUCUGAAGAAUGGAUUUUUUUCUGACAUAAGAGUAAAUUGUAGAACGAAUCAUGUAGGUAACUUUUUUUUUUUUACCGAUAUUCUUGAUUACUAAUUAAGAAACUUCUAUCAACAAGAAAAAAGAGUGAAUUUUUUUUUCACGGAAAAAAAAUUGGCAAGGUAAAUAAAACGAAUUUCAUGUUCUUUUCUUACCUAUGCAUAGAAAAUAUAGAGUCUUGCAUAUUUAUAUAUAUAUAUCCCGGGAAUUUCCUUUUUUACUAAAAAUUCCUAUUGACGGAUCGGAUUAUAAAUUAUAACGAAUUUUGGAGGAAUUUUUAAGCGGAAAAACUCUUUAUUUUUAUUUUAUUAAUGUAAAAUAAGAAAAUAAAAGUUAUAAGACAAGAAAAAAAGAUAAUAAAAGAAGAAUAACAAAUAAGUGGAUUAUCAUAUAUAUUUCAUGUAGAAAUAUGAAUAAGUUAUUUAGUUAGUUCUACACUCGUUGCACUUUAUUUUAUUAUAUAUACUCACUUAGAUAUACUUAGUAUAAUUAUAUAGGAAUUAUAAUGAUUAUAAGAUACCUUUCUAAUAAUAUUUUAGAAAUAUAAGUAUAAUAAGAAAAUAAUAAAAAACAGGUACAAAUAUUAAAUCGAGGUACUCAUUCUAUGACAAUUCUCAACAACUCCCCCUCCAUUCUUGUGCCUUUAGUGGGCUUAGUAUUUCCGGCAAUUGCAAUGGCUUCUUUAUUUCUUUAUAUUCAAAAAAACAAGAUUUUUUAGAUCCAAUUAGGUACGAUGGGGGUAGAUUUCAUUUUUUUUUUUUUUUUCAAGACUUAGACUUGGAUCAUAAUACAGAUAUCUAUUUAGUAUAAUAUGAUAUAACAUACAGGCUGCUCCCUUCAAACAUAAACGAAAAUGAAAGGGUUCUUAUGUAGGCGUAAAUAUUAUAUAUGAGUAAGUGAACUAUUUGAAAAAAAAAAAAAAAAAAUUGAGACUGCGGCGGAUGCCUGAAAUAAAUGCAAAGCCAAUGUUUUUAUAUAUUUUUUAUAUAUGCGUAGAUAGAGGAUCAUAUGAGGGAGCUCCCCUUUAUUUUAAAUCUAACGAAUUCGAUGAAUUCCUCCUAAAGAUUCACAUCAGAAUAGUGCGAGUUGAGGAAAGUUACUUCGGAAAAAAAAAGAAAGUCAAAUUCAUUUGGGCUAGUCUCCCACUUCAAAUAAAAAGCAACCGGAUCUAGUAUGAGUUGGCGAUCAGAACGUAUAUGGAUAGAACUUAUAGCGGGGUCUCGAAAAACAAGUAAUUUCUGCUGGGCCUUUAUACUUUUUUUAGGUUCAUUGGGAUUUUUAUUGGUUGGAAUUUCCAGCUAUCUUGGCAGAAAUUUGAUAUCUUUAUUUCCGUCUCAGCAAAUAAUUUUUUUCCCACAAGGGAUCGUGAUGUCUUUCUAUGGGAUCGCCGGUCUAUUUAUUAGUUCUUAUUUGUGGUGCACAAUUUUGUGGAAUGUAGGUAGUGGUUAUGAUCGAUUCGAUAGAAAAGAAGGAAUAGUGUGUAUUUUUCGCUGGGGAUUUCCGGGAAAAAAUCGUCGCAUCUUACUACGAUUCCUUAUGAAAGAUAUUCAGUCUAUUAGAAUAGAAGUUAAAGAGGGUAUUUAUGCUCGGCGUGUCCUUUAUAUGGAAAUCAGAGGCCGGGGGGCUAUUCCUUUGACUCGUACUGAUGAGAAUUUGACUCCACGAGAAAUUGAGCAAAAAGUAGCGGAAUUGGCCUAUUUUUUGCGUGUACCAAUUGAAGUAUUUUGAAAUGAGCUGAAGAAUGAACAUUUUCUUAGCAGGAGCGAAAAAAUCCAAAAGUCCUCUUUUUUUUCUAUAGCAUAAUUUAACUGAAAUUUCUUUACAAUAUUGAUGAACCAAAGAAGGCGUAUAUUAUACAUAUAUGGAACAAUUAGAAAAUAAAACUUUUUUAUCUGCAAAAUUUUUUAUGCAUAUGUAAAUUCACUAAAUUCAGUAACAAAACAAGUAAGAAAUCGAAAAAAUAGACCCAUCUCAUAGAGCAAAACAAAGCGUUUUGGAAUUUCGGAAUAAAAUAAAAUAUAGAAUAAAGAAAUUCUCUUUUUAUUUUCAAUAUUUGAAAUUGAUGCGUUAGAUUUAGAUAUGGAUAGAUCAUAUCUUGUAAAUUAUCUCUCCUUUCUUUUGUCAAUCGACGUUUCUUUUUAUCUUUUUUUUGUCCUCCUUAAUGAAAAUGAACAAAGGGCUGGACCACUUAGAAUGAUAACUUUUCUGUCUUAUUUUGCUUUUGCCACUCAUUUUUGAUUAUCACAUCACAAUAUUCUUCCGAAACCUUUCUCAAUUAUUCCUGUGGAAUAUGGGCAAGUUGGCCAUUUUUUUUUUUCGAAAUAUUUGUUUUGUUGAUAGAACGGAAUUCUUUCAUCUUGAAAUCCGAAUUUGAGGCGGCUCUUUAGGACAUUCAUCGAAAAGAGGGAAUUGCUUCGAAUUUGAUGAGAUAUCUAGAAACAAUAUUUUUUUUCUUCAUUUGUGUACUCUUUUAGGCUAUAUUUUUUUUGUAUUCUUUCAAAAUUCAAGGACUAAACACUGACUCACAAAUAAAAAACAGGGAAUAGAUUCAUAAGUUCGAAGCCUUGUAAUAGAACUUAUGCUUGAUAGAAAUAUUAGAUCAUAUAGAAUCAAUAAAUGAGGUGAGUUCCUUAAAAAUUCACAGACGAAAAAAUGGAAAAAAAAACAUUUAUUCCCCUUCUAUAUCUUACAUCUAUAGUUUUUUUGCCCUGGUGGAUCUCUUUUUUAUUUAAUAAAAGUUUUGAAUCUUGGGUUAUUAAUUGGUGUAAUAUUAGUAAAUCCGAAACUUUUUUAAAUGAUAUCCAAGAAAAAAGUAUUCUAGAAAAAUUCAUAGAAUUAGAGGAACUCGUUCGCUUAGACGAAAUGAUAAAGGAAUACCCGGAAACACAUCUACAAAAGUUUCGUAUCGGAAUCCACAAAGAAACGAUCCAAUUGAUCAAGAUGCACAAUGAGGAUCGUAUCCAUACGAUUUUUCACUUCUCGACAAAUAUAAUCUCUUUCGUUAUUCUAAGGGGUUAUUCUAUUCUAAGUAAUGAAAAACUUAUUAUUCUUAAUUCUUGGGUUCAAGAAUUCCUAUAUAAUUUAAGCGACACAAUAAAAGCUUUUUCCAUUCUUUUAUUAACCGAUUUAUGUAUAGGAUUCCAUUCACCUCACGGUUGGGAACUAAUGAUCGGCUCCGUCUACAAAGAUUUUGGAUUUGCUCAUAACGAUCAAAUUAUAUCUGGCCUUGUUUCCACUUUUCCAGUCAUUCUCGAUACCAUUUUUAAAUAUUGGAUUUUCCGUUAUUUAAAUCGUGUAUCUCCGUCACUUGUAGUGAUUUAUCAUUCAAUGAAUGACUGAAAAAUGAUCCAUGAAUCCAAUUAGAAUCUUUGUUAUUUUGUACAUAAGUAAAACAUUCAAAAUCUUUCUUUAUAUAUACAUAUUUCUUUUUUCUAUACAUCCAAGGGAUUCUCUUCCUAUAUUUUCUAUUUUAGUAAAAAUAUUUCAGUAAAUAGCAGUAUCGUGGAUAGGGAACUAUACUAGCGACCUACCUAAUUUUAUUGUAGAAAUUUUCAGGAUCAAUGAUUGGACCAUGCAAACCAGAAAGACCUUUUCUUGGAUAAAGGAAGAGAUUACUCGUUCCAUUUCCGUAUCGCUCAUGAUAUAUAUAAUAACUUGGGCAUCCAUUUCAAAUGCAUAUCCCAUUUUUGCACAGCAGGGUUAUGAAAAUCCACGGGAAGCAACUGGUCGUAUUGUAUGUGCCAAUUGUCAUUUAGCUAAUAAACCCGUGGAUAUUGAGGUUCCACAAGCGGUACUUCCAGAUACUGUAUUUGAAGCAGUUGUUCGAAUUCCUUAUAAUAUGCAACUGAAACAAGUUCUUGCUAAUGGUAAAAAGGGGGCUUUGAAUGUGGGGGCUGUUCUUAUUUUACCUGAGGGGUUUGAAUUAGCCCCUCCCGAUCGUAUUUCGCCAGAGAUGAAAGAAAAGAUGGGAAAUCUGUCUUUUCAGAGUUAUCGCCCCACUAAAAAAAAUAUUCUUGUGAUAGGUCCUGUUCCUGGUCAGAAAUAUAGUGAAAUUACCUUUCCUAUUCUUUCUCCGGACCCCGCCGCUAAGAAAGAUGUUCACUUUUUAAAAUAUCCCAUAUAUGUAGGCGGAAACAGGGGAAGGGGUCAGAUUUAUCCCGACGGGAGCAAGAGCAACAAUACGGUUUAUAAUGCUAUAGCAGCAGGUAUAGUAAGCAAAAUCAUACGAAAAGAAAAAGGGGGGUACGAAAUAACCAUAACGAAUGCGUCAGAGGGACGUCAAGUGAUUGAUAUUAUACCUCCAGGACCAGAACUUCUUGUUUCAGAAGGCGAAUCCAUCAAACUUGAUCAACCAUUAACGAGUAAUCCUAAUGUGGGUGGAUUUGGUCAGGGGGAUGCAGAAAUAGUACUUCAAGACCCAUUACGUGUCCAAGGCCUUUUGUUCUUCUUGGCAUCCGUUAUUUUGGCACAAAUCUUUUUGGUUCUUAAAAAGAAACAGUUUGAGAAGGUUCAAUUGUCCGAAAUGAAUUUCUAGAUCUGUAAAUUCAUCAACAUGAAGUUCUUAAAAAGAACAAAAAUUUUGUUGGUAAUUAUGUAUGAUCAAAAAAAAUUGUGAAAAGCUCUUUGCUUUUUUUUAUAUUUUUUUUAUACCAGAUUUUGAGAAUUACUUGUACCGCAUUUCUAGUUAUAAUCUGUAUAUUGGUAAGAAGACUAUUUGAUUUUAUCCUCUCUGUUCUUUUGUGUUUUUUUUUAAUCUAAAAAAAUGGGAGCGGUGUGAUUUUUUUACUAUUGUCAGAUUUAACUGUCAUAGAGUGGAUCAAUAGCUUUUCUAUUCUAAUAGAAUCCAAUUUGACUAGAUACUAAGCAUAAAAUAAGUAAGCGGAAAAGCAAAGGCUAAAUUAAAGGGGAACAAAGGAUUCUAGGAGGUAUUAUUUUAUUCGUCUUCCUAGUCUUCGACACAAGAAAAGGAAUUUUCCACAUCCCUUUCUUGUGUCAAAAUAAAAAUAAAAUAAUAAUGAUUCUUGAUCCCAUUCCUCAAUACUAUUCUUAGUUUAUAUUUUUUUUUUCUAGGUUUAUCAUAACUUCCUUUUCAAUUUUAUACGUAUAAAUUCGAUUUAUUACGUAUAAAAAAAAUUUUAAGUAGUGGACAAACAAAAAAAAAAAGAAAAGGAAAUUUUUUGAGCAAAUAGAA